rnacentral:rRNA from 1 species
UACGGGGGGGGCAAGCGUUGUUCGGAAUUACUGGGCGUAAAGGGCUCGUAGGCGGCCAACUAAGUCAUACGUGAAAUCCCUCGGCUUAACCGGGGAACUGCGUCUGAUACUGGAUGGCUUGAGUUCGGGAGAGGGAUGCGGAAUUCCAGGUGUAGCGGUGAAAUGCGUAGAUAUCUGGAGGAACACCGGUGGCGAAGGCGGCAUCCGGGACCGAUACUGACGCUGAGGACCGAAAGCCAGGGGAGCAAUCGGG